GAUGAACGCUGGCGGCGUGCCUAAUACAUGCAAGUCGAGCGAACGGAUGAGAAGCUUGCUUCUCUGAUGUUAGCGGCGGACGGGUGAGUAACACGUGGAUAACCUACCUAUAAGACUGGGAUAACUUCGGGAAACCGGAGCUAAUACCGGAUAAUAUUUUGAACCGCAUGGUUCAAAAGUGAAAGACGGUCUUGCUGUCACUUAUAGAUGGAUCCGGGCUGCAUUAGCUAGUUGGUAAGGUACGGCUUACCAAGGCAACGAUGGAUAGCCGACCUGAGAGGGUGAUCGGCCACACUGGAACUGAGACACGGUCCAGACUCCUACGGGAGGCAGCAGUAGGGAAUCUUCCGCAAUGGGCGAAAGCCUGACGGAGCAACGCCGCGUGAGUGAUGAAGGUCUUCGGAUCGUAAAACUCUGUUAUUAGGGAAGAACAUAUGUGUAAGUAACUGUGCACAUCUUGACGGUACCUAAUCAGAAAGCCACGGCUAACUACGUG
rnacentral:rRNA from 1 species